rnacentral:rRNA from 1 species
UGGGGAAUUUUGGACAAUGGGCGCAAGCCUGAUCCAGCCAUACCGCGUGAGUGAAGAAGGCCUUCGGGUUGUAAAGCUCUUUCAGACGGAAAGAAACGGUCGCGGCCAAUACCCGCGACUAAUGACGGUACCGUAAGAAGAAGCACCGGCUAACUACGUGCCAGCAGCCGCGGUAAUACGUAGGGUGCGAGCGUUAAUCGGAAUUACUGGGCGUAAAGCGUGCGCAGGCGGCUUUGCAAGACAGAUGUGAAAUCCCCGGGCUCAACCUGGGAACUGCAUUUGUGACUGCAAGGCUAGAGUACGGUAGAGGGGGAUGGAAUUCCGCGUGUAGCAGUGAAAUGCGUAGAUAUGCGGAGGAACACCGAUGGCGAAGGCAAUCCCCUGGACCUGUACUGACGCUCAUGCACGAAAGCGUGGGGAGCAAACAGGAUUAGAUACCCUAGUAGUCCCUGAGCGGGCUGGCAAGGCGCAU